rnacentral:rRNA from 1 species
UACGAGGGGGGCGAGCGUUGUUCGGAAUUAUUGGGCGUAAAGGGUGCGUAGGCGGUUUGGUAAGUCUGAUGUGAAAUCUAUGGGCUCAACUCAUAGUCUGCAUCGGAAACUGCCGGGCUUGAGUGUGGGAGAGGUGAGUGGAAUUCCUGGUGUAGCGGUGAAAUGCGUAGAUAUCAGGAGGAACACCUGUGGCGAAAGCGGCUCACUGGACCAUAACUGACGCUGAUGCACGAAAAGCUAGGGGGAGCAAACAGG